rnacentral:lncRNA from 1 species
GAGGUAGACACUCAUGCAGGAAAAGUGCCAGGUGAAGAUGAAGGCAGGGAUCGUAGUGAAGCUUCUACAAGCCGAGGAUCACCAGCAAACCACCAGAAGCCAAGGGAGAGGCCAGGAACAGACUCUCCCCACAGCCCUCAGAAGGGUCCAACCCUGCUGACACCUUGAUCUUGGACUUCCAGCUUCCAGGACUGUGAAACAAGACAUUUCUUUGGUUCAAGCCACUCCCUUAGUGCACAUUGUUAUGGCAGCCAUGGAAAACCAUCCACAGAGGGUCAGUUCCUAUGGAGGUGGGCCCUGGGCCCAGCUGCUGCAGGUGGCCAGGAAGGAGCCUGGGAGGAUGACGGGGUUCCUGAUCUGAUAGAACUGGGCUGUGACUAGGCAGAACCCUGUUCCACCACACACACCCCAGUGGAGGACGUUCUGUAUCUGUGAUGAAUGACCCCUGCAUACAUUAUAUCUUUCAGUAAAA